AUCUUAGCAGUUUGCAGAUGAUGUCUCUCUUGACUUCAGAGAUGUUGCUCACCUUUCACAGCCGAAGAUAAAGCCUCAUAAUGCAGCAGAGCCAGAGCCUGAGCACAGAACGCUGAACAGAGAUCUAAAUGUUGACCUCAAUAGUACAUGCCUGAAGUUGAGUGCUUCCUGAAUCCUGUUACUGUCUGGUUUGUUCCUGUAGCUCUUGUGGAGCAUAUUGUGACAACCUGAAUAUUUUUCCAUCUUUAUCAAGCUGCUUGUGGAAAGGGUGCAUUGAAGGAGCUCUGACGACAGUCUCUGAUUUGUGCUCAGCAGUUACUAACUGUUGUUAUUGCCACCCCCAAAUACUACUUUGCUGCUAACUCCUCUGAUCUCCUCUGGAUGUUAGAAACUAAAUGCUGAAGCAUUUAGUGUUUGAAUAGUAUCUGUAGUGAUGGAACUGAUCCUGUUGGGUACUAAAGGCCACCAGCUUUUGCUGGCCUCUAUGAGAUUUAGGGUCUCAGACUUUGUUAGCCUUGGGCCCUUAGAAAAAAUUUCUUUUUCUUUCCAUUACAUUGUGAUAGGGAUGUAGAUUUCCUUAGGGACUUUCUUUGUUGGGUUUUGUUGGGCAGUUUGGUUUUUUUUUACUAUUUCUUUGUGGGGUUUUUUUUGUCCCUUCUCUUUCCAUUGAACUGGGUUGAGAACAUAUUGAGACUUCCUUCAUCACAAGGACUGUUCCCUCAUUCCCUGCCCUGUGGUCAAAUGUAAUGUCACAUUGGCCAACUGAUUGUAAGAAUGUCCUUUACUAAAAGCAAGUCAGCAAGCAUGAUAUGUCCUACAGCAUCCUGUAAUUUAGAAGGUGUGUAAAUGACAACAUAUAGAUUUGUUAAGUAGAAAGUUGAUAGCAGAGUCAAGAAGAAAACAGUCACACCCAAUAGGAUAUGUGUGUGUGAUUAGUGUGGUCAAUAUGUAUAUACCACUGAAAGAAAAUACACCUGUGCAUACUAUUGCCAAGCUCCUAACAGUGUUCCUUAUUCCUCAACUUUUCUACAUGCACAGCGUUGUUCUUCUUUCCUAGAUGUUAAUCUCACUGAAGCAAAGACCAAAUUAUCAACAGAAAAUCUCAGUGUAUGGAAGACUUGAUUGAGUGGGACAGGUGUCCACUGGUUGAUACCUGGAGGAAAGAGAGUUCUUCUUUUAGUGUGCAGUAAGUGCUGCUGCCUUAUUCACACAUGGGGGAAGGCAUCUCACAAGUGACCUUACAAAUGAGAAGAAAUUUCUAAGCAACACUGAAGUUUUAUCGAGGAAGCUUCUACCAAAAUAGACUGUGGUUUGCACGCUGCUUGUGAACAUUUACUGAAAGUUUGUAUUGCAGCAGGUGGCAAAAUACAACAUGUGAUAUUGUUCCUGUCUUCUGUCAGAAUGGAUUAUGAGUAACCAGAAAAUUUAGGCAUUUGGAUUUGAAAAGAAGUUAUCUGCUGAAAUUCAAAGACAAAUUUCCAUAUGUUACAAAAUUGAAAUCAAAAUUCCAUAAGGCACUCGCUCCAUCCCUCCAGCCAUCAUCCCAAAAGCAAAGGGGUUCAGUUUGUUCAGGUGGAGCUCGCUUUCUCCACCCCCAGUGCCAGCAAAUCUGUUUGGUGUGGGAGGACGGUGGAGCAUGCCGCCCACAGCCACCUGCUCUGCCGGAGGGCCCGCAGCCUUGCCAGCACUGUGCCAAGGCACCAGCUCGGGGUGGGAGUCUGCAGGAGGCACGGAUCAGCUGGGAGGUGUGCUGCUCUGCUUCUCCCUUGCUUGCGGGUGACCUUUGCUGAUAAAGAUUAGCCAGAGGCUUUUGGAACAUCACAUAGCACUGGAUACUGGGACUGAUGAUGAAGUCAUCCUGAGGGGAGCCUGAGGAACUAACUGCUGCUUUGUAAGCUUUUCUGCAGUGUGUCCCUGGUGUCUGAGGAAUCCUGGGGUGCAAGAAAAGAGAUAUAUUUGGAUUUUAAAAAAUGACUCCACGGUGUCUCCCCAUUUCCUAGUUGAGCAUACAUUAGUGGAUCACAAACCAUUCCCAUGAAGUGACAUGUCACCUUGAGCUGUUUGAAGAGGUCUGGAAGCAUCAUCUGACACUCUCAUCCCCAAGACCUGCUGAAGUUCCUCCAACCUCUCCCAUACAACGUAAAUCAGGCACGUUUACGUCACUCAGUCUGCAUUGCAGAGUCCUCUGCACUCCAUCUCAGAGAUGCUGAUAACCUGCUCACUUAUCCAAGCUCACUUAGUGGGUACAUGUGAUGUCUCCUCAACUGUUGGGGGUGUCUCAGUGCUACAUCAAAGAAGCAAUACAUGACUUGAGCUCUGUAAGACUGUUAUGUUUUCUCCAGGCUUUCAAACCAGACUGUUGCUGCUAGCCCUACCAAAAGAACUGCUGCCCGGCCAAGAAGAGCUGGAGCUCUGCUAAUGCAACUGUACUUAAGAAGGAGCCCUCACGCCUAGGAGGAUGGAUGCUCUCCUGGAAAAAGAUAAGAUGCUGGCUUUCCUUACAUGUGUAUCACUUGGCUGCAUUCAGUGUGAAGGAGCUUUGUGAGGAAAGAUGCUGUGUGGAAACAAAGAGAACAUGGUCAGGAGGAUGAAAGGUCAUGAUCAGACAAUCCUGGAAUUUAGAGCUGCCACCUCUGGUGUAUCUUUGCAUUCAGCGAUCCUCUUCGCACUCUUGGUUUGAGCUGGUGGAGGGGCCUGAACCUGCCUUCAGAGUCAGUCUCCAGUAUUUCCCAUCGUGAGCACUGCAGGUUUGGACUAUUAGGACGCAGGAACGCUUGGACUGAAGCUCAAACUAUGAAAUGCUGAUGCAAGAAGGAGCAGCAUGGUUCCCUGCCCACAGCACAGACCUUCCCUGCACCGGGAGCUGAGCACACCAGGAUGGGGUGAUGAGGUGACCACAGCAGGACAAUCUGCCCGACUCCUCUCAGGAAGAGAAAGCUUGCAGGGGAAUGUCUGCAGGUUUUCUGCUUCUAACGCUUCUCUCACCUGGAAGUGGUCCUGUGUCAUGACUAUGGAAGGCAAAAUCUUCCCCCUGUCUUGCAGUCCCUGUUUUCCCUGCUGCUACUGGAGCCACAGAGAAAGAAGGACGAAAGGAAGAUAGUUUCAAUGCCCCAUUGAAGAUGAGAGCUUGUUGGCAUUGCAUGAGUGCAUGAAAUAGUUUAACAGCAAACUUGGAUACAAGCCAGCUU